UGGCGAACGGGUGAGUAACACGUAGGUAACCUGCCCUUGUACCUGGGAUAACAGUUGGAAACGAUUGCUAAAACCGGAUAGGAACACUUGAGGCAUCUCAAGAGUUUAAAGGCGCGUAUGCGCUGGACAAGGAUGGACCUGCGUUGCAUUAGCUAGUUGGUGGGGUAGUAGCCUACCAAGGCGAUGAUGCAUAGCCGACCUGAGAGGGUGAUCGGCCACACUGGGACUGAGACACGGCCCAG
rnacentral:rRNA from 1 species